GAUGAAGAACGCAGCGAAAUGCGACAAGUAAUGUGAAUUGCAGAAUUCCGUGAAUCAUCGAAUCUUUGAACGCACAUUGCGCCCGCUAGUAUUCUGGCGGGCAUGCCUGUCCGAGCGUCAUUUCAACCCUCAAGCCCCCGGGCUUGGUGUUGGGGAUCGGCGAGCCUCCGCGCCCGCCGUCCCCUAAAUCUAGUGGCGGUCUCGCUGUAGCUUCCUCUGCGUAGUAGCACACCUCGCACUGGGAAACAGCGCGGCCACGCCGUUAAACCCCCAACUUCUGAACGUUUGACCUCGGAUCAGGUAGGAAUACCCGCUGAACUUAAGCAUAUCAAUAAGCGGAGGA
rnacentral:misc_RNA from 1 species